rnacentral:rRNA from 1 species
AGAGUUUGAUCCUGGCUCAGAUUGAACGCUGGCGGCAGGCCUAACACAUGCAAGUCGAGCGGUAGCACAGAGAGCUUGCUCUCGGGUGACGAGCGGCGGACGGGUGAGUAAUGUCUGGGAAACUGCCUGAUGGAGGGGGAUAACUACUGGAAACGGUAGCUAAUACCGCAUAACGUCGCAAGACCAAAGUGGGGGACCUUCGGGCCUCAUGCCAUCAGAUGUGCCCAGAUGGGAUUAGCUAGUAGGUGGGGUAAUGGCUCACCUAGGCGACGAUCCCUAGCUGGUCUGAGAGGAUGACCAGCCACACUGGAACUGAGACACGGUCCAGACUCCUACGGGAGGCAGCAGUGGGGAAUGUUGCACAAUGGGCGCAAGCCUGAUGCAGCCAUGCCGCGUGUAUGAAGAAGGCCUUCGGGUUGUAAAGUACUUUCAGCGAGGAGGAAGGCGUUAAGGUUAAUAACCUUGGCGAUUGACGUUACUCGCAGAAGAAGCACCGGCUAACUCCGUGCCAGCAGCCGCGGUAAUACGGAGGGUGCAAGCGUUAAUCGGAAUUACUGGGCGUAAAGCGCACGCAGGCGGUCUGUUAAGUCAGAUGUGAAAUCCCCGGGCUCAACCUGGGAACUGCAUUUGAAACUGGCAGGCUUGAGUCUUGUAGAGGGGGGUAGAAUUCCAGGUGUAGCGGUGAAAUGCGUAGAGAUCUGGAGGAAUACCGGUGGCGAAGGCGGCCCCCUGGACAAAGACUGACGCUCAGGUGCGAAAGCGUGGGGAGCAAACAGGAUUAGAUACCCUGGUAGUCCACGCUGUAAACGAUGUCGACUUGGAGGUUGUUCCCUUGAGGAGUGGCUUCCGGAGCUAACGCGUUAAGUCGACCGCCUGGGGAGUACGGCCGCAAGGUUAAAACUCAAAUGAAUUGACGGGGGCCCGCACAAGCGGUGGAGCAUGUGGUUUAAUUCGAUGCAACGCGAAGAACCUUACCUACUCUUGACAUCCAGAGAACUUAGCAGAGAUGCUUUGGUGCCUUCGGGAACUCUGAGACAGGUGCUGCAUGGCUGUCGUCAGCUCGUGUUGUGAAAUGUUGGGUUAAGUCCCGCAACGAGCGCAACCCUUAUCCUUUGUUGCCAGCGAUUCGGUCGGGAACUCAAAGGAGACUGCCAGUGAUAAACUGGAGGAAGGUGGGGAUGACGUCAAGUCAUCAUGGCCCCUACGAGUAGGGCUACACACGUGCUACAAUGGCAUAUACAAAGAGAAGCGACCUCGCGAGAGCAAGCGGACCUCAUAAAGUAUGUCGUAGUCCGGAUUGGAGUCUGCAACUCGACUCCAUGAAGUCGGAAUCGCUAGUAAUCGUAGAUCAGAAUGCUACGGUGAAUACGUUCCCGGGCCUUGCACUCACCGCCCGUCA